AGAGUUUGAUCCUGGCUCAGGAUGAACGCUGGCGGCGUGCUUAACACAUGCAAGUCGAACGAAGCAUUUAAGACGGAUUACUUCGGUUUGAAGUCUUUUAUGACUGAGUGGCGGACGGGUGAGUAACGCGUGGGUAACCUGCCUCAUACAGGGGGAUAACAGUUGGAAACGGCUGCUAAUACCGCAUAAGCGCACAGUACCGCAUGGUACGGUGUGAAAAACUCCGGUGGUAUGAGAUGGACCCGCGUCUGAUUAGCUAGUUGGUGAGGUAACGGCCCACCAAGGCGACGAUCAGUAGCCGACCUGAGAGGGUGACCGGCCACAUUGGGACUGAGACACGGCCCAAACUCCUACGGGAGGCAGCAGUGGGGAAUAUUGCACAAUGGGGGAAACCCUGAUGCAGCGACGCCGCGUGAGUGAAGAAGUAUUUCGGUAUGUAAAGCUCUAUCAGCAGGGAAGAAAAUGACGGUACCUGACUAAGAAGCCCCGGCUAACUACGUGCCAGCAGCCGCGGUAAUACGUAGGGGGCAAGCGUUAUCCGGAUUUACUGGGUGUAAAGGGAGCGUAGACGGCAUGGCAAGCCAGAUGUGAAAGCCCGGGGCUCAACCCCGGGACUGCAUUUGGAACUGUCAGGCUAGAGUGUCGGAGAGGAAAGCGGAAUUCCUAGUGUAGCGGUGAAAUGCGUAGAUAUUAGGAGGAACACCAGUGGCGAAGGCGGCUUACUGGACGAUGACUGACGUUGAGGCUCGAAAGCGUGGGGAGCAAACAGGAUUAGAUACCCUGGUAGUCCACGCC
rnacentral:rRNA from 1 species